AUGGAGUGAGUGGAUCCUGGGUGUUAAGGGGAAAUGCGAGCGACAGAAAUGCAUCCAGAAACUAUGGGUAUUAGAAAUGAGCUCAAGUGAGCUGCUUUAGGAGGCUCGGGAAAGGGGCUUUCCUUUUGUGCUUAGGUCCUUUAUCUUCCCGGGUUGCAUACAGGUCUACCUGAAAACAGCCCCACCCCCACCUCCACACCCCUCUAUCUUUUUCUUUUUUCUUUUUUUUUUUUUUUUAACGGUGAACCUCCAAUCUCAGAUUGCAGAUACAAAGUGAUAGGGUGAAGCUACUGAAAACACAGAAGAGGCCUUCUACUGAAGAAACAGCAUUGUGAGCUAGAAAAAGUAGAGAAUAUUUGGAACAAGUUUUAACAAGGAUGACAUGGUGAAUCCACAAAAGAUGGGAAGAACGAUCACCAGGGAAUCCUACCAGGAAAGGGAUUCUGGAAUCAUGGAACGUAUGCAGGAAGUUUACUAGGGAAAGCCCCUGAGGUCAACACCUGAGAGAGAGUAAAAGAAGCAGAACUGGGUAAAAGGGGAGGUUGAACUCCAAUGCAAUCUCAGCAAAGGCUUCAGCCCAUUCCAUGGGAGUUCUGGACUCAAUGGACCCUUUGGAGUUGUUCUGCACUGAGGACAGACAAGCAGGUCUUUAUACCCUCACAUCAACUUGUCAUUCCUAGUAAUCAGAAUUGAGCUCACAGAGAAGCCUGUAGAACUAAUACAUGAAUAUUUCAUCAUCACUGGUUUAUAGGAACCCAAAGGAAACUAUCUUAAAUGCAGCAAUUAUUUUAAUAAACAUUAUUAUUUGCAAGGCACUGUGAUGGGUACUCUGGGGGAACACAAAUUUAUUUAAAUCACAUGUUUGACAUCAUGUAACUUAAAUUUAAAGUAAAAUGAACUAUAGAGAAGUAAAUUGUCUGUAAAAUGGAUAUAAUAAUAUCUGUCUCAUAGGGUGGAUCCGAGGAUUUGAAAACCUGCCACAAAAUAAA